AGCAGCUUCCGUCUAUAUUCUAGUGUUUUCAUUUUUAUGAAUGCAAGGAUAAAUAUUUAAUACUUCUUCUAAUGUAUACACGGACACACUGGAUCUAAAUCCUCCGAUCAAGAGGUCUGAUGAUGUCAGUUAAGUUGAUGAUAGAAGCAUCACGUGACUUUACUAUGUGGAGGGACACGUGUAACAUGAUGAGUUCUGCCACGCAAUGUUGGCAGACCAUCAAAUUCCCAAAAAGGACCCGGUCAGUCGAUAAAUUAACCGUCAAUGUCGAACCCGAAAGAAAAAUGAAGGAUGUUCUCUUCUCGGUGCUUCCUUUUCUUCCAUCGCUGUAGCUUUUGCGAUUCCUAAAGAAACUCUACUUCUGGGGAUGAGGGGAUAGCCGACAUGUCUUCCUUUCCUUUCUACUCAUCCUUUUUCCUCACAACACCUUUCCUUCUCCGUUCCAAGAUCUCCGCCGGUCCUACCAUCCGAACCACAUUCUUAUUUUUAUUCUCGCCGCCAUCCUCAUUUAUAAUCCGAUCCGAGUGAAUUCGCCGCCUUCUUGUUGUUAGGGUUCCGAUUUUCGAAACUGAGGCCCCUUGCGGAGCUGCACUCGCUGUCCUUGAGCUCGAGCAGGAUGGAGUGUUUGAGGAAGAUGGCCGGCAGCUGCUUCAGGAGCAACCAGCGCAAUGGCGUGACUAAUGUCAGAGUUGGUUCAAAUGGGGCAGAGAGUUAGCGCUAAACGGAAAAGAAGAAGAAAACAGAGCAUCACAGAGCUUGUAUAUUAGCUGGUAACAACUAAGGUUGAGGCCGAGAGUGGCGGCGUGGAUAUUUUCGAUGCAGCGCAGAGGGCGGUCCCGGACCACCUCGUCAUCAUGAUUGAUGGCCUCACAUGGGAAGGUAUAUGUGUAUAUGAAUCGUUGUUGAUUUGUUGUACAGUUAAAUUUAAAGCAUUGAAGAUUUGAGUGUGAACCAUUAAUGGGUUUUCUGGAUGGAAGUUUGUGCUUGAUUGGGCUAACGAAUAACGAAGCAUAUGAAAUAUGAAUGUGUUUGUGAACCUGUGCGUGUGUGCGACAUGGAGAGGUUACUUUGAGUACCUAAAUUUUUGGGGGAGUUCAGUAGAGAAAUACAUAUAUUGCGAUAAUAUUUAUAAGAGAGGUUUCGCAUUUGGUGAUGGGUUCAGAAACUUGUUUGUUUGAAAAAAAAAUGGGGAAAACUCUGUAGGAAAAAAACUUUAAAUAGGUAAAUAUUAUUAAAAGAAAUGAAUAAUCUAGGCUGUCCAAAAUCUUGAAUAGGCUGAGUUGAGUUGGAUCUAGGAUGGAAUUUUUGUGGCUAGCUGCUUCGUGAAUGAAAACUUGCUCAUCUUUUUUUUUUUUUUUUUUUUUUUUUUUUUUUUCCCUCAUGAAUGUUAAUAUGAAUUCUAAUACUUAUGCUCUUCUGUUACUUUUGGUUUCGCUUUGGAAUUGGUGUAUAAUAUGUUCAUUACUAAGCCUUCUGAGGUCUACAAAUUCUCACCUCCCCUUUUGCCUUCCAAUGGCUCUCUGUGCUUGUGGUGACUAAAAACAUAAUUGCUUUUAGAAUGAUAUCUUUUAAACAGGAAGUAAAUGCAAUUCUUCAAGACUGACAUUCGAUGGUGAUGAAUUGAUGGGUGAGAAGGCUAGCUGAAGAGGUACUUGGUAAUAACAUCAUGACAUGUUCUAGGCAUAAUUGAUGUAUUUUGCUUCACUUACCUGAACUUUCCUGUCUUUUGUUGCUAUUGUUGUACUCACCGAAUUACCUAUUUUUUUUAUAUUUAUACCAUAAACAGCCAAAAUAGCAGUUGACACCUUAAACUAACAAAUUUUGGAAAUUUGCACCCUCAGUUAGGAGUUAAGACCUCGCUGUUAUGACCAAGGAAAAAUAAGGCACGUUGUACAAUCUUAACGAUAUUAUAUUAACUGGGAGUACAAAUUACCAAAAUUUAGAAGUCUAGGGCACCAACUGCCAAUUUGGACAAAUUGAAAAAAUGGUGGUAACUUUGGGGUUGAAAGAUGUAAUUUUAUAUUUGUUUUUUCUCUCACUUGUGUUGUUUAAGUUUUUGUCUUCCAAACUCAAUUAGGAUUUAUGACACAGUCUGAUAGACAUGAAACCUGAUCUUCACCAUGGGCCAUGGUAAAGAUAUCUCACUUGUGUUGUUUGUUUCAUUUGUAGUUCCCCAAUGAAAUGUCCAACCAUGGGAGGUCAAUAUGGACAGCCUAAAGUUGACAUAACUUCUAUGAGUAUCAAGUCGGAGAGUCGCAUAUUGAGGAUCGAGGCCUUGACUUGUAUUUACUGUGAAAUUUUAUUAGGGCGAGUUUGGUUCUUCUGCCAUUUACCCGACUCCAUUGAAUGUUCAAAACUUAAAAAUUGGACGUGUUAAGAAGAAAAUGUUCCUGUGUGGGUAUCAAUGAAGACAUCUUCUGUAGAAAGGUAUUCAAGAAAUAGCUUAAGAUACUUAUUUGGAUUUCUUAAGACAAGUUACUCCUUCAAACUCUUACAAUUGAAUGCAAAUCUAUGCAUCACACAAAAGAAUCAAUAGGCUCAGGGUGGGAAACUCGAUGCACCUGAAAAUUCCUUCUCUCUGUCAUUUGUCACAUACAAAGAAAAUGAAAUGACGAAUUCCAACCUGUGAUACACAUCUUUGAACAAGAUACCAUCAUGAUAGAUGGAGAUAGGAAGGGAACAGACAACAAACAAUUUGGAACAAACAAAUAGCUCUGUGGAAAUCAUAUUUUUGACUUUAGAUAACCAAGCCUUAACCAUGUGUAGUAUCUUCCUUGGGACCCUUGGUUGUAGGCAUUGGGAUUAUGUGAAGCACUGUACAUCUUCUUUUGGAAUCUAUCAGGAACCUGGGUUGAUGAAUUUUGGAGACACAGAACCUAAUCAUCAAGUGGACGAAGAGCCGCGUGUAUCUUUAUUUUCUUUAUAAUUUUUGUCCUCAGAGCUACAUACAAUUGAGAAUUACUAGUGAGACAGCAUAAUCAGACUUUGCUCUAUUGGUAAUUGCAAAUUAGGUUUCACCUUACCAUUCCCUCUCUUGGAUAUAUUUGCUAUCAACUACAACUUCCUCUGGAUCCUUCAUUUGUGAUGGAACCCCUGAUUUUUGUGUCAGCAGACUUGAUAAAGUUUUGCAGAACUGAUCAUUAACUCAGGAUUAGCUCAGUGGGAAGACUCUAAUUCACAAAUAUAAAUAAGUUAGGCAUAUAUUCAUCAUACCUCUUCGUACACUUGCAGGUCCCCUGAAGAUUUUGAUACUUUUAUUACACAAUCAGUCGGAGCAACCUCAAUCACCUGUAAUUUGCCAGGGUGGUUAGAGACCUUGAUGUCUUAUUUUGCGUCGACAGUAAAUGAAAAUUGCUUACCUCUGCCGAUAUGUCGAGAUAUGAUCUAGAAUAUCUAGUCAUCUUUUGUUUUGGAUGCAUCUUCAUCUGAUUUGGAGUAGAGUAGUCAUUAAAUGUGCCAGAAAAGAGUUUUCUUGGGGGGGGGGGGGGGGGGGGGGGGGGGGGGGGGGGGGGGGGGGGGGGAGGAGUGUUUAUGUUGAAGAAUCGAAGUAUAAGCAGACUGUACCUUAUGAUGUUUUGUUCUUUCUACUGACAAACUCACGUCUGUCGCUGCAGCUUCAAUUUUCUUCAUGGUUUCAUUUAUUGUAUUCUUGGAUCCAAACAUUGUUGUCUGCAUAUAUUCACUCUAAAUUGGAAAGAAAGACGUUAGGUAAAAAAAUGAACUAAAGAAGCUUUUAUUAUACUGACUCAUGUUUUGAAUUAUAGACUUGCCUUCUCUUCAAACAGACCCGAUAAAUCAAGAUCAUGUGACAUGGCAAUUAACUUGAAGGCAUUUAUGAAACUUGAGGAGUUGGGAUUGUUUGUCUCUGAGACAAUCUCCUGCUGAAGAUUUCAGGUAGUUAGGUCCAUUUAUGAAACUCUCUUAUCUUACUAAUGGAGCUAGCUUUUACCUCAAUCGAAUCAAAAGCAGCAUUGACAUCCUCCAAGUGAAUUUUCUCAUUGCAUUCAUAUCCACAAGCUGGCACAUAAUCUUUUCGAAACCAUUUAUCUUCAACAAUAUCUGGUAUGGUCAUUCGCUGUGUUGGUGAAAUAAAAGAAGAAAUAUACAUAAUUUUGUUCAAUAUAAUCAGAAAAUGGUUAUUAUAUUAGAAAGUUCGAAGGUUAUUUACACUUUCAGGAUUUGUAUCAAGUAUUCUGGAGAGUAGUUUCUUUUGGUCUUCAGUAAACCAUUCUGGACAUGUGUAUUCUGCCCUGCAUAUCUUUGCACAAACAUUCACAUCAGGUAAGUGCAACUGUUUGUAUUGGAUGCUGAAUUUAUACAUUUACAUUUGAAGCUACCUUCUUGUACAAGUUUAUCAGGUUGCUGUCAUCGAAAGGUAGAUGACCGGCAAGUAACUCAAAUAGGAUUACCCCACAAGACCAAACAUCGGCAGCUGCUCCAUCAUAACCCUUAUUCGCAAGCAGCUGUGUGCAUGAAUAAUUGAAGCAUUAGCCGUAGGAGAAAAGCAGGCAUAAGCUUAAUUGUGCAAUUGUCAUCAGUAUUUGUGAGGAAACUUGCAACCAGUACUCACCUCAGGUGCCACAUAGCUUGGGGAGCCACAAGCGGUGGUUAGGGUGCCACCGGGCUGUUAAUUUAUCAGAACUUCAGUCACUCAUCCAUUGGACUUGUCAAGUCCCAGGAACUCAACCGUGUGUAAAAUAAAAAGAAAAGAUGAUGUACAUAGGAGGCUUAAGGUUGCUACCUUCUGCAGUGCACUUAGUCCAAAAUCAGAUACUUUGAGAUUUCCCUUCUGAUCCAGAAGCAAGUUCUCUGGCUGUAUAGUAUGCCAAAAUCCCAGUGAGAGUUUUGAGAGAACUCCGUUUGAUAGUAGAAAAUUGAUUAACAGGGCAUUGGUAGAUUGUAUUGACUGACCUUCAGAUCUCGGUGAUAUACCCCUUUGCUAUGGCAAUAGUCGACCGCAUCAAUCAACUGCUGGAAAAGCCUUCUUGCUUCCCGUUCCUCUAGCUUCUUGGAAUAAGACUGGGUGAAGAGAUUAUGGAAUAUUAGAAUUCUCUCUAAAACAAAGCUACCCUAAAAAUCACGUUUGAAUACCAGAUAAAUGAUAUAGAUAAUUCAAAGUUUUUGCACCAUUUUGUCUGUGAGUUGUCCUCCCGGUACAUAUUCCAUGACAAUGUAAAUCUUCGUCUUCGUGCCAAGAACCUGUGCACAGGAUUUGGGCGCAGAAACAGGAAUGAGAAGGCUGAACUGUCCUUGGUCGUCAAUGACUUGGUAAAAUUAAACUACAAAAUUCAGAAACUGUCAAACACACCUCAUGUAUCCGUACGAUGUUAGGGUGAUGAAGAAGCUUCAUUGUUCUUAUUUCUCUUUUUACCUGAAACAGAAGGAAUAUCAACCAAAAUAUGGGAAAGAAGAAAAACUACGAGUUCUUCCAAUGAAGGUGGGUGGAAGAAAGGAAGAAAGAAAUGGAAAUAUGCCUGGUACUUGAGAUCGCUUUCCAUGACCUUGUGCUUGUCGAUGGUCUUGAUUGCAACAUAUUGGCCAUUGGUGCUGUCAACGGCUAGCUUAACCUUGGCGAAACUACCUUCUCCAAUUGUCCGGCCAAUCUUGUACUUCCCUAUGCUAUUGGCAGGAAAUGCCAUUUUCUGAUUAGAAAUCGAAGAAAAGAAAUGAAAAUAAAAGAGCAGGGAAAGAUCCAAUAUCGUCUCCUCCUCCUCCUCCUCCAGCAACCACCGUCUUCUACGCCCCUUGCAAAUGCUUCUUGUAUCCGCUCUGCUCGACAAGUAUAUCCUUGUCAAAAUUGGAUGAUGUCCUGUCUCUUUUGGGGGAGAGCUCGUGCUCCUUCGCUGCUGUUAGCUUGUGCUCCUUUGCUACAACCGCCAUAGUCGUGGUUCUCAUUUCCUUACAUGGACGAUUUUGCUAUGUCAAUAUCAGAAAAUAUGCGUAUGUAUAUUGUUUUAAGAGGCUAGGAAGCGUUCCUUUUAUAUUGUGAGGCUUUUGCAAUUGCAAUGUAUUGGGAGGACGAUGACUGGUUGGUUUGUUGGUUUGAAUAAUAUGCAUGUUUUGAAUGGAA